AGAGUUUGAUCCUGGCUCAGGAUGAACGCCGGCGGUGUGCCUAAUACAUGCAAGUCGUACGCACUGGCCCUACUGAUUGAUGGUGCUUGCACUUGAUUGACGUUGGAUCACCAGUGAGUGGCGGACGGGUGAGUAACACGUAGGUAACCUGCCCCGGAGCGGGGGAUAACAUUUGGAAACAGAUGCUAAUACCGCAUAACAACAAAAGCCACAUGGCUUUUGUUUGAAAGAUGGCUUUGGCUAUCACUCCGGGAUGGACCUGCGGUGCAUUAGCUAGUUGGUAAGGUAACGGCUUACCAAGGCAAUGAUGCAUAGCCGAGUUGAGAGACUGAUCGGCCACAAUGGAACUGAGACACGGUCCAUACUCCUACGGGAGGCAGCAGUAGGGAAUCUUCCACAAUGGGCGCAAGCCUGAUGGAGCAACACCGCGUGAGUGAAGAAGGGUUUCGGCUCGUAAAGCUCUGUUGUUGGAGAAGAACGUGCGUGAGAGUAACUGUUCACGCAGUGACGGUAUCCAACCAGAAAGUCACGGCUAACUACGUGCCAGCAGCCGCGGUAAUACGUGGGUGGCAAGCGUUAUCCGGAUUUAUUGGGCGUAAAGCGAGCGCAGGCGGUUGCUUAGGUCUGAUGUGAAAGCCUUCGGCUUAACCGAAGAAGUGCAUCGGAAACCGGGCGACUUGAGUGCAGAAGAGGACAGUGGAACUCCAUGUGUAGCGGUGGAAUGCGUAGAUAUAUGGAAGAACACCAGUGGCGAAGGCGGCUGUCUGGUCUGCAACUGACGCUGAGGCUCGAAAGCAUGGGUAGCGAACAGGAUUAGAUACCCUGGUAGUCCAUGCCGUAAACGAUGAAGUGCUAGGUGUUGGAGGGUUUCCGCCCUUCAGUGCCGGAGCUAACGCAUUAAGCACUCCGCCUGGGGAGUACGACCGCAAGGUUGAAACUCAAAGGAAUUGACGGGGGCCCGCACAAGCGGUGGAGCAUGUGGUUUAAUUCGAAGCUACGCGAAGAGCCUUCCCAGGUCUUGACAUCUUGCGCUAACCUUAGAGAUAAGGCGUUCCCUUCGGGGACGCAAUGACAGGUGGUGCAUGGUCGUCGUCAGCUCGUGUCGUGAGAUGUUGGGUUAAGUCCCGCAACGAGUGCAACCCUUGUUACUAGUUGCCAGCAUUAAGUCUGGGCACUCUAGUGAGACUCCCGGCGACAACCCGGAGGAAGGUGGGGACGACGUCAGAUCAUCAUGCCCCUCAUGACCUGGGCUACACACGUGCUACAAUGGUCGGUACAACGAGUUGCUAACUCGCGAGAGCAAGGUAAUCUCUUAAAGCCGUUAUCAGUUCGGACAUGUAGGCUGCAAUCUCGCCUACACGAAGUCGCGAAUCGCUAGCUAAUCGCGGAUCAGCAUGCCGCGGUGAAUACGUU
rnacentral:rRNA from 1 species